GCCGGUAAUCAGGUGGCCUAAUGGUUAAGCGUGUUGGACUCUGGAUCGAGCAGUCCGGGCUCGAGCCCUGGCCCUGGGACA